rnacentral:rRNA from 1 species
UACAGAGGGUGCGAGCGUUGUCCGGAAUCACUGGGCGUAAAGGGCGCGUAGGUGGUGGCUUAAGCGUGCGGUGAAAGCUCGGGGCUCAACUCCGAGUCGGCCGUGCGAACUGGGCUCACUGGAGCAUAGUAGAGGCAGGUGGAAUUCCGGGUGCAGCGGUGGAAUGCGUAGAGAUCCGGAAGAACACCGGUGGCGAAGGCGGCCUGCUGGGCUAUGGCUGACACUGAGGCGCGACAGCGUGGGGAGCAAACAGG